rnacentral:rRNA from 1 species
AGAUUGAACGCUGGCGGCAUGCCUAACACAUGCAAGUCGAACGGGAGUAGCAAUACUCUAGUGGCGGACGGGUGAGGAAUACGUAGGAAUUUGCCCUUAAGUGGGGGAUAACCCGGGGAAACCCGGAUUAAUACCGCAUGACCUCGAAAGAGCAAAGUGGGGGAUCGCAAGACCUCACGCUUUUGGAGAAGCCUACGUCGGAUUAGCUAGUUGGUGAGGUAAUGGCUCACCAAGGCGACGAUCCGUAACUGGUCUGAGAGGAUGAUCAGUCACACCGGGACUGAGACACGGUCCGGACUCCGUACGGGAGGCAGCAGUGGGGAAUAUGGACAAGUGGGCGCAAGCCUGAUCCGAGCAAUGCCGCGUGUGUGAAGAAGGUCCGUUGGUUGUAAGCACGUUUAAGUUGGGAAAG